UACGGGGGGGGCAAGCGUUGUUCGGAAUUACUGGGCGUAAAGGGCUCGUAGGCGGCCAACUAAGUCAGACGUGAAAUCCCUCGGCUUAACCGGGGAACGGCGUCUGAUACUGGAUAGCUUGAGUUCGGGAGAGGGAUGCGGAAUUCCAGGUGUAGCGGUGAAAUGCGUAGAUAUCUGGAGGAACACCGGUGGCGAAGGCGGCAUCCUGGACCGAGACUGACGCUGAGGAGCGAAAGCCAGGGGAGCAAACGGG
rnacentral:rRNA from 1 species